GGCCCGUGGGUGUGCUGGAUCGCAUGUCAGCUUCCGAAGCUGUUGGACCAGGUUCAAUUCCUGGACGGGCUAC
rnacentral:tRNA from 1 species